rnacentral:lncRNA from 1 species
AACUGUCUCUCGCUGUGAGUUACAAAAGACUGAAUGCAAGACCUGGCCCUAGUUGGAGGAUGAGGAUUUCCACCAACCUUCCCAAACUUUAAAUGAUUGGCAUCUGCCAAGUCACAGAAACACACAAAGAGGCUCUUUAACCGGAGUUUGGCUUGGCUCUUCUAAGCAGGGCUGGGAGGCUGGGAGUGGUUUGGUGGUGCGCGGCUACUCCGGAGUGUGCGGUAACCGAGGGCCGAGUCCGCGUAAAGCCGAGAGCUGUAAUGAUGUCAACUUGUUAUUUACUUUCCAAAUCUGAAUGACUGAGCAAGGCGAAAGGAGAAUCAAUCAACCACAAUGUGACCCUACAGGCGGAAAAAACGCAGCGCUCCCACCAGCAGGCGGUGGGGGGAAGGGAAGCACGUGUAACCGGGACAGGGUUGCAUCAUGAGCUCGCUCGGGUUUGUCUCUUGCACCCUCCGUUUUUCGAUUGCAUGUAAUACCUCAGCCUCAGUCUGCACAAGCCCAGGGAGCCCGGGAGCAACGAAGGGCAGGCUCCAGGGAAGGCCCCACCAAGUCCUUUUGGGGGGUCUUCAAUGGCAACUGAUACAUAAUAAGACACAAUCUAUUCUGCUGAUUCACAAUUAUGGAGACUGUGGUGUCUCGUGUCCAGAGCCCCAGCGUAUCCGUCUGACGUGCUCCAGAGGCGGUGUCUGGCCCUUGGUAAUACAAGAUAGAAGAGAGGUCUCCACAUAAGCCCUGGAAAGAAGAAAGGAUUGGCCUGCGUUUACUUCUGAGUAAGUAGAAUUGUGAAAGAUUUUAUUAGGAACAACCUGCCAACC